rnacentral:siRNA from 1 species
UAGAUUUAAACCCGCGGUAUACCG